rnacentral:rRNA from 1 species
CCUACGGGCGGCAGCAGUGGGGAAUAUUGGACAAUGGGGGGAACCCUGAUCCAGCCAUGCCGCGUGUGUGAAGAAGGCCCUCGGGUUGUAAAGCACUUUCAGUGAGGAAGAAUGCCUGGUGGUUAAUACCCAUCAGGAAAGACAUCACUCACAGAAGAAGCACCGGCUAACUCCGUGCCAGCAGCCGCGGUAAUACGGAGGGUGCGAGCGUUAAUCGGAAUUACUGGGCGUAAAGCGCGCGUAGGUGGCUUGAUAAGCCGGUUGUGAAAGCCCCGGGCUCAACCUGGGAACGGCAUCCGGAACUGUCAAGCUAGAGUGCAGGAGAGGAAGGUAGAAUUCCCGGUGUAGCGGUGAAAUGCGUAGAGAUCGGGAGGAAUACCAGUGGCGAAGGCGGCCUUCUGGACUGACACUGACACUGAGGUGCGAAAGCGUGGGUAGCAAACAGGAUUAGAUACCCCUGUAGUC